CAACGUAGGGUGCGAGCGUUGUCCGGAAUUAUUGGGCGUAAAGAGCUCGUAGGCGGUGUGUCGCGUCGGCCGUGAAAACCUGUCGGCUUAACUGUGGGCUUGCGGUCGAUACGGGCAUCACUGGAGUUCGGCAGGGGAGACUGGGAAUUCCUGGUGUAGCGGUGAAAUGCGCAGAUAUCAGGAGGAACACCGAUGGCGAAGGC
rnacentral:rRNA from 1 species